CCGCCAGCAGGCCUUGGGGAGCCGGUUACCGAGACCGGACGCCGUUCGCGCAGAGCCGCCGUCCACGCGGCCCGCACGCGUGCCUCGUUUUGUUUUUUUGUUUUUAAUCGUUUCCCCUUUAAACACGUGAGGACCGCCGUGUUCGCCGCCGCCGAGCCCUCCGCGGGCGCCCCGACGCGGCCUCGGCGGCAGGACUGGCGAGCGUGGAAUCCUGACUGCACUGUUGUUCGCUUUUGAAAAGUUUCUGGCCCUGCAAACUUUCAUACACACUAUUCAGCCGCACAAAUGCUCAGCUGUCUUUGGUAUUAAAAAGAAUGAAUUUUCAUAAGUCGUGCUUGUAAGGAAUGUUAAUUCUUGUUCACGAGAAGAUUAAAGAUCAACAUUUUCUCUA